rnacentral:misc_RNA from 1 species
GGCAACUAUAAGACGUGGGGUAGUGCUGGCUCAUCAUAUGAAAAACUGAUAAAUCCGAUGGGAAAUAAAGUGAGAAAAAUUUAUUGUUUCAGUUUACGUUAACAACGUCAUAUGUGUGUUUCGAAUGCGACUGCCUUCAGUUGAGUAGGUACGUGAGCAUUCAUAACUUAUUGCUUCGUGAGCACCGGAGCAGCUCUGCGAGUAUGACGCGUUCUACGCACCCGAACAAGCAUUGAAGUCUCCGAACCCGUUUUCUGACUUCUCACGCAGACGCCGUCGCGCGCGGGUUCCGAGGCGGUUUCUCUAUAGAUAUAAUGCCAACGCAGAACCUGCACUGUACGGCUAGCAGCUAGG